rnacentral:rRNA from 1 species
AAUAAAUUUUUUAUGGUUUAAAAAAUUUAAAAUAAGUUUAUUUUACAUAUAAAUUUUAGUGUUAAUUUUUGAUUAUUUUAAUAAUAAUUAAUUAAUUAAUUAUAGUAAAUAAUUUUAAAAAUUUAAGAAAUUAAGAUUUAGUAGUGCAAAAAUUGUUAACUAAUUUUGUGCCAGCAGUUGCGGUUAUACAAAAAAUAAAAUAAAUUUUUUUAGUAAUUAAUUAAUAAAUUUAAUUUGAAAUAAUUUAAAAUUUAAAUUAUUAGGUGAAAUUUUAAUUUAAUAAAAAUUUAUUAAGAAAUUAUAUUGUAUUAAUAAAUUUUAUUAAAAACUAGGAUUAGAUACCCUAUUAUUAAAAAUUUAAAUUAAAAAUACUAAAAUAGUAGGUAAUUAUUUAUUGAAACUUAAAUGAUUUGGCGGUAUUUUAGUUCAUUUAGAGGAAUCUGUUUAUUAAUUGAUAAUCCACGAGUAAAUUUACUUAAUUUAGAAGUUUAUAUAUCGUUGUUAAAAAAAUAUUUUUUAAUAAAAAUAAUAUUUUAAAAUUUAAAUUUAAAAUUAAAUCAGAUCAAGAUGUAGUUUAUAGUUAAGAAUAUAAUGGAUUACAAUAAAAUUAUUUAUAUGAAUUUUAAUUUGAAAUAAUUAAAUAAAAGUGGAUUUAAAUGUAAUUUUUUUUAAUUUAAAAAAAUGAUUUUAAAUUAAAAUAUGUACAUAUUGCCCGUCGCUUUCAUUUUAAAGUUGAAAUAAGUCGUAACAAAGUAGAGGUACUGGAAAGUGUUUCUAGAAAGA